AGGGAAUCUUCCACAAUGGACGCAAGUCUGAUGGAGCAACGCCGCGUGAGUGAAGAAGGUUUUCGGAUCGUAAAGCUCUGUUGUUGGUGAAGAAGGAUAGAGGCAGUAACUGGUCUUUAUUUGACGGUAAUCAACCAGAAAGUCACGGCUAACUACGUGCCAGCAGCCGCGGUAAUACGUAGGUGGCAAGCGUUGUCCGGAUUUAUUGGGCGUAAAGCGAGCGCAGGCGGAAUGAUAAGUCUGAUGUGAAAGCCCACGGCUCAACCGUGGAACUGCAUCGGAAACUGUCAUUCUUGAGUGCAGAAGAGGAGAGUGGAACUCCAUGUGUAGCGGUGGAAUGCGUAGAUAUAUGGAAGAACACCAGUGGCGAAGGCGGCUCUCUGGUCUGCAACUGACGCUGAGGCUCGAAAGCAUGGGUAGCGAACAGGAUUAGAUACCCUGGUAGUCCAUGCCGUAAACGAUGAGCGCUAGGUGUUGGGGGACUUUCCGGUUCUCAGUGCCGCAGCAAAUCG
rnacentral:rRNA from 1 species